rnacentral:rRNA from 1 species
AUCUAAGAGAUUUGGCGGUAUCUGUAACUUUUUAGAGGAACUUGUUUCAGUUGAUCGAUAAUCCUCGAAAUAUCUUACCUAUAUUGAUUUGGUUUGUAUACCUUCAUGUAUAUAAUUUUUAUAAAAUAUAAAUUAUUUAAAUAAUUUAUUCUGAAAAAUAACAUAUUAGAUCAAGGUGCAGCUUAUGUAUAGGGUGAAAUGAGUUACAAUAUGCUAUCAUAUGUUUGGAUAAGGAAAAUUGAAAGGGUCUUUGAAAGAGGAUUUAAUUGUAAUUAAAUUUUAAUAAGGUUUAUUGAUAAUAGUUCUGAGAUAUGU